rnacentral:rRNA from 1 species
CCCUUAGAUGUCCUGGGCUGCACGCGCGCUACACUGAUGUGUCCAGUAAGCACCUAACCUCUUCCGAAAGGAACGGGUAACCUUUGCAAAGCACAUCGUGAUGGGGAUAGAUUAUUGCAAUUAUUAGUCUUGAACGAGGAAUUCCUAGUAAGCACAAGUCAUCAGCUUGUGUUGAUUACGUCCCUGCCCUUUGUACACACCGCCCGUCGCUCCUACCGAUUGAAUGUUCCUGUGAGCUCUUCGGACUGCGCGGUCUGCAGUUUCUGCGUUCCGUGCGGAAAGUUGCGCAAACCUUAACAUUUAGAGGAAGGAGAAGUCGUAACA